rnacentral:tRNA from 3 species
CCAGAGGUGGCGGAGUGGCCAAUCGCAUUAGACUGUAAAUCUAACGGGGUAACCCUGCGGAGGUUCGAAUCCUCCCCUCUGGACAA